rnacentral:lncRNA from 1 species
GUAAUUUAAUAUGAAUGAAGUGUGCAGUGUGGUUUGAGGGUGAUAGAUAUCAGUGAUUAAGAUUGGGACACAGGGAAGACCUUGCGAAGGUCACACUCGUGACACCCAAGUGAAUCCAGGAGUACUCAGGAGAAAAGCCAAGGAUACAGAUGUGUCUUGUGAAUCCACUGACACUCAGGGAAUUCCAGCACUGUGGAAAGACGCGCACGUCAGCUCGUGUUCAAGGCACGGUUCUCUCAGCACGUGGGACUUAGGUGGCUUGAGAAGCUGCAGAAUACUUAGUGUGAGCCGGCCUGAGAGAAGCCGCUAUAGCAGCUUCUUGUACCAAGCAAUCAACAGAAAGGGAAAAAGGAGUCUUUGGGCUGGUGAAAGUCAUUGACUCUGAUGACAGGUAAGAGUGCUGUUGUUAUAUAAAGUGGGAAGGAAUAUAGUUGGCAUUAAAUAU